UACAAAUAACUACAGAUAACCUAAAAUGCUGAGUGCAGUGCAAGAGAUACAGCUAAUGGGCUGUGGAAGUUUGCAUUAGUAGAGCCAGUGUGCAGUGAGAAAAAUGGAGCAGGCAAGCACGGAGGAGAUGUUGAGAUGGAGGAUCCAGAGGGCACUCGGUUCCAGCUGUUCCUAAGGCCCAGGAGUGCCUUUCUUCUUGUGGGGUUGACACUUCAUUGGGUACCACAAGGUACCAUCAAACCUUUCCAAUAAAUC
rnacentral:lncRNA from 1 species